rnacentral:rRNA from 1 species
GAAACUCGCCUACAUGAAGCUGGAGUUACUAGUAAUCGCAGAUCAGAAUGCUGCGGUGAAUGCGUUCCCGGGUCUUGUACACACCGCCCGUCACACCACGGAAGUUGGGGGCGCCCGAAGCCACUUAGCUAACCCUUUUGGGAAGCGAGUGUCGAAGGUGAAAUCAAUAACUGGGGUGAAGUCGUAACAAGGUAUC